AACGGCGAGUGAAGCGGCAACAGCUCAAAUUUGAAAUCUGGCCCUCGGGUCCGAAUUGUAAUUUGUAGAGGAUGCUUUUGGUGAGGUACCUUCCGAGUUCCCUGGAACGGGACGCCAUAGAGGGUGAGAGCCCCGUCUGGUUGGAUACCGAUCCUCUGUAAAGCUCCUUCGACGAGUCGAGUAGUUUGGGAAUGCUGCUCUAAAUGGGAGGUAUAUGUCUUCUAAAGCUAAAUAUUGGCCAGAGACCGAUAGCGCACAAGUAGAGUGAUCGAAAGAUGAAAAGCACUUUGAAAAGAGAGUUAAAAAGUACGUGAAAUUGUUGAAAGGGAAGCGCUCAUGACCAGACUUGGGCUUGGUUGAUCAUCCAGGGUUCUCCCUGGUGCACUCUUCCAGCCCAGGCCAGCAUCAGUUCGCUGUGGGGGAUAAAGGCUUUGGGAAUGUGGCUCCUCCGGGAGUGUUAUAGCCCAUUGUGUAAUACCCUGUGGUGGACUGAGGUUCGCGCAUCUGCAAGGAUGCUGGCGUAAUGGUCAUCAGCGACCCGUCUUGAAACACGGACCAAGGAGUCGUCUUCGUAUGCGAGUGUUCGGGUGUUAAACCCCUACGCGUAAUGAAAGUGAACGCAGGUGAGAGCUUCGGCGCAUCAUCGACCGAUCCUGAUGUUCUCGGAUGGAUUUGAGUAAGAGCAUACGGGGCCGGACCCGAAAGAAGGUGAACUAUGCCUGUAUAGGGUGAAGCCAGAGGAAACUCUGGUGGAGGCUCGCAGCGGUUCUGACGUGCAAAUCGAUCGUCAAAUAUGGGCAUGGGGGCGAAAG
rnacentral:rRNA from 1 species